GUCCCGGUAAGUUAUUGAUUUAGUUAAUGUGAAUUUCAGGUUUUCGUCUUGAAAAUCCCCGUGUCGGUGGUUCGAUUCCACCUCUGGCCACCA
rnacentral:tRNA from 1 species